AAAGCACAAACAAACUUUUUGCUGCUGCCACUUUGAACAUGAAGAGAAAUCUCAUUUAUUAUAAGCAAAGAAGAGACUGGAAAUCAAUAAUGUGGGUAUUCUGCAGAGUUGACCACUGGAACUUGAGUUAAUCUUUCAUCUGUCUGUGGGAUGAAGUCCUUUGCCUUGAUGGACAAGUCUUCUGUUGCUUCUAGUCUUUCCUCCUACAGCAGCACUUUCUACAGAGGAGGGGCAAGGCUCCUCAGAAGCAGGAAGUGAGAAACUUCCUACAUCUGAAGAAGUUGAAACUUAAAGUUUUAGAGGACCAUCGAGGCUGUAGAAGGAGGAGACCCUGACCAGCUCCAGAGAAGAUCUUCGACCUGUCCUGAGGCAUAGAAGCUGUGCAGUUUCAGCUGUGCUGUCCCCUGAGUCACAGCCUGAGCUGAGGUGGGCUCUGCAGGGAUGCAGCUGCUGUGGAUCCAUCCCAGCUCCUACAGGUUUUAGGUAUGUCUAUAUGGAGCACUGAAGAACCAGAGCAGAGGGACUUAUCCGCUGAGAUCCAACAGGCGUGAUGACAAGCGAAACCAGGCGGAUGGGCAGGGUAACAAAAAACUGCGUUCUCAAAUUGUUGGAACACAGCCAUCUGCACUGAUGUGGCUGUCGUCGAGGAGAGCAAAAGUUGCAGGAGACUCCCAGCAGGUUGGUGGCAGGGAGCACUGAGGCCCCAGGAUGACUACUAUAAUCUUCCCAAGAACAGCUUUCAGUGAUCUAAAGAUCUCCCAGUAGCUCUCACCUCUUAAGUCUUGCUGACCCCCAGGAACAAAGCAAGUGGCAAGGUGAGUUCAGAUGCAAGUGCUUCAGAGAACAUACAGAGUCCUGGAGAGAAAUGAAUAUAAUCUGUCCCACUGGACAGGUAUUUCAGUGGUGUACACCCCCUUCCUUCAGAUCAGUGGAUUUCAAUCUGUAGGUCACAGCCCCUUUGAUGGAUGAACAACCCUUUCCCAAAGGUCACCCAGGACUAUUGGAAAACACAGAUAUUUACAUUACCAUUCAUAACAGUAGCAAAAUUACAGUUAUGAAGUAUCAAUGAAAAUAAUUUUCUGGUUGGGGUCAUCACCACAUGAGGAACUGUAUUGAGGGUUGCAGCAUUAGGAAGGUUGAGAACCACUCCUCUGAAUGCUAUGUUAUUGAUAACCUCUCAGGAUCCCAUAUUACCAAGUCCACAGGAGCUUUCUCAUCUUUUAUAUGGGUGAACUGUGCAGGACUCCUGUUAACUUGUAGGAACUGGAGGACAAAGAAAACAUGUUUGGAGUCCGAAAUAAGAGGCCAGAGUGCCUGGUGAUUUUAUGGGUUUGUGGUGAGAGAAGUUUGGUUCUGCUGUAGAAUGUUUCCUGUUGCAUAGCUUUGGCCAGCAAAGAAAACGCAACACCGGACUCUUUUCAAUUGUAGUUUAAUCAGGAAAACUUCAAUAAUCUUCUCACCCUGGGGAAAGCCAGCCCACACCUAAAAUAGCCUCUGGGUAGCCAACUCCAGCAAGCCACGUGGGAAAUACAGAUAGGCCCAGGUACACAGAAACAAGCCAGAUCCUUAGCUUUAGCCAUGUUGGAGUUAUUUACAGCUGAAAGCACAUUCCACCCGGGGGGUGGAGUGUAAAGCCCCAUGCCAUCUUUAAGGUGCGGCACAAAGCAGCUCACUACAUUUCCUCCUUUUUGUUUUAGACGCCACAGGUAAGAGUAGAGGCCUGCUCUCUGUGAAAUGUUUUCAUUUCACAGAGCCUUGUAUUGAUCCUCCCUAGGUGUCUUUUACUCAAAGAGUGUUAGACUGGCUCGAUGCCAUUUUUUAGAGGUGGGAACUUGGGCAUCAACCCACAUGUAGCUAGGCGUGUUCUUCUCAAGGUUAGCAAAAGGCCGCCCUUGAGUGCAGUGCCUUGUCUUGUACCCUGGAUGUGUUAAAUUAUCCUUUUAUGGUGGCUAACCAUGCUUAGGGGGAUUGGCCAGCCUCUAUGGCCAUAAAGGCUUGUAUAAUCAUGGCUGUACUGUGACGCUGAGAGUCCCUAAUCCGACAGAUACACCACAGGCAGGCUAGAGAGACCAACACCAGAAGGCCAGCUAACGCUCCCAAGCCCGCCCACUCCUUUAGAUGAUUCAUGGCUGUGGUGAUCCAGGACGAGAGUCCCUCAGCCAUGCCAGCAUCCACUCGAGUAGAAUUCAUGGUAACAAUGGUCACCCUCAGCUGCUUCAUCAUGGCACCAAAUUCUCCAGUCCUGUUACCUAAAAGAUAACUAGACAACUGUUUAGACAAAUUUGUAACAUGGGUAAAGUAUUAGUCAUGGCAUGGGAAGCAUCCACAGGCACAGGCAUGAUGCUUCUUAAAAAAAUCCUAACAAUGGAUGUCUGGGAUAAUGAUUAUCUAUGUUGUCAUCAAAACCACACUGCAAAAUAGCCCAAUCAUCUAUCGUAGCACACAAGAUCUUAACUUGGUGGCUGGAAUAGGGCACUAUAAUGGAGAUGGGGGCAGUUCCAAAAUAUUGUAAACAUUGCUGAAUCCAUUUCAGGGCUAAAGUUGCCACAGCAGUAGGAUAAUGCUCAAGAGCGUUGGCUGGAGAUAUUUUGAGAUAAAUCCAAAGCAGUGGCCCAUUUUGCCAUAACAACCCUGUAGGCUGGUGAUAUGAAGGCAGAAUGCACAGAACAAUGUUUUGGCCCUCUUGAAUCCUCUGCAGAAAGGCAUCUUGUAAUCUAUUUUUCACUUUUUUUAAUGCCUCACAUGCUUCAUUAGUCAGUUGCCUUGGAGAAUUUAAAGCAGAAUCUCCAUUUAAAAUAUCGUAUAAGGGCUUUAACUCAUAAUUUGGCAACUUUAAAUAACAUCUAAGCCAAUUUAUAUCGUCUAACAGCUUUUGAAAGUCAUUCAAGGUCUUUAAAUUAUCUUUUCUCAAUUUUACUUUUUGUGGAAUAAUUUGCUUUUUACAAAUUUGUGCUCCUAGAUAAUUUACAAUUUUAUCCUUUUGUACUUUAUCAGGGGCUAUAAAUAGUCCCUCUUUUUUAAGCAAUUUAAUUAACUCCACAUAGGCUUGUUCCAAGUCCGAGCAGCAUAUCUCUGUCCCAUGCUGGAUUUUUAGCUGCUUGAUUAGCUGAGGCCUGCUCGCUAGCAAACUCAAUCAAAAAGGCUCUCCAGUCUAAGUACUGUCCAGGGCUCAGGCAUGUACGAGUGAGCCCACUCCAGUCACUGGGCGUCAUGUAAUAUUGGUUUAGGGCUUCUGCCUGUGUCACAGUAAAAGAGACUGUAAUUCCAUAAAUUCUCACAGACUUAACCAAGGACUUACUCACCUUAAAAAUCAGAGGCUCUUUGUACCUGUUUCCUUGGGGACCUUGAAACAUUGGAUAUGCUAAUUGCAGCUCAGUUCUCACCAC